ensembl:lncRNA
ACCAGGACUCUGUCUGAGGAGAGCUGAUGGAGGAGCUGAGACGCUGGAGGACGACUAGGAAUCGACCAACAAGGAUUCCUCAACGUGUUUCUGGAGCGGAGGCGAGCUGGUAGGGGAGCCGUGAAUCUGGAGGAUGACCAUCACUCUACCAACAAGGAUUGUGUCUGCCUCCUCACCGAGAGCCAGACCGCCACCUCCUGUCAGAAGUCCUCCAGAACAGCUGAAAGGCGAGGCUGGGUACCGGAGGCUUGUGGUGCCAGGAUGGACCGGAGACUGAGGCUGGAGACCAGGGGCCUGCAGCGGCGGGCCAGAGGGUAACCAUCACCAAGCUCAUGAAGCACUAAAAUCCACGACAGGAAUCCAUGGCUGAAGGAGCUGAUGGAGGAGCCGUGCUGAAGGCCCUGCCUGGUUGAGGAGCUGGUGGAGGCCCUGCCUGGUGAAGGACGUCUGUCGUGGGACCAGGACUCUGGCUGAGGAGAGCUGAUGGAGGAGCUGAGACGCUGGAGGACGACUAGGAAUCGACCAACAAGGAUUCCUCAACGUGUUUCUGGAGCGGAGGCGAGCUGGUAGGGGAGCCGUGAAUCUGGAGGAUGACCAUCACUCUACCAACAAGGAUUACCAGGAAUCUGGAGGACUGAUGGAGAAGCCGUACAUCUGGAAGGCAAAUCCUGUGGACAACCAGGACGCUACCAUCAAGGUUUCCUCACACACCUGAGCUGAACCUCACCUGAUCCUGUUUGGUCAGGGGCAGACACACCUGAGCUGAACCCGCCCUGACAUCCUGCUAGUCCCGUCUCCUCAGUUCAUCUGCGCCUCGUCCUCCAGAAGACCUGCUGAGCUCAGCAGUCUGAGGCUGAUGGAUCAAUGACCUCCAGUGGGAGUGAUCUUCUUGACCCCACAUGUAACCGUGUGCUUCCACACGCCUUUCCCUCACAUCUGUCACUAACCUCACUACUUCACUACUGCUUCCUCUUCUUCCUUUUCUGUGGUUCGAACCUAUACACGGAAGGCGCGUCUUCCUGCCCUCAGAGGGUUUAGCGUUAGGGUUGAGAGUCAGGGACAGAGCAGGUCAGGGAGGACUGCUUUUACUUUGACAUGUGUUAACCAACUACCGCUGUCUUCUUACUAGAAGGUGUUUCUGGAGCGGAGGCGAGCUGGUAGGGGAGCCGUGAAUCUGGAGGAUGACCAUCACUCUACCAACAAGGAUUGACUCUGGCUGAGGAGCAGAUGGGGAGCCAAGACUCUGGAGGACGACAUCACUCUACCAACCAGGAUCCUUACCAGGAAUCUGGAGGACUGAUGGAGAAGCCUUGCAUCUGGAAGGCAAAUCCUGAGGACAACCAGGACUCUACCAUCAAGGAUUCCUCAUGCACCUGAGCUGAACCUCACCUGAUCCUGUUUGGUCGGGGGUAGACACACCUGAGCUGAACCCGCCCUGAUCCUGACAUCCUGCUACUCCCGUCUCCUCAGUUCAUCUGCGCCUCGUCCUCCAGAAGACCUGCUGAGCUCAGCGGUCUGAGGCUGAUGGAUCAAUGACCUCCAGUGGGAGUGAUCUUCUUGACCCUACAUGUAACCGUGUGCUUCCACACGCCUUUCUCUCACGUCUGUCACUAACCUCACUACUCUCUACUGCUUGCCUCUUCUUCUUCCUUUUCUGUGGUUCGAACCUUUACACUGAAGGCGCGUCUUCCUGCCCUCAGAGGGUUCAGCGUUAGGGUUGAGAGUCAGGGUUUAGAGUCAGGGACAGAGCUGGUCAGGGAGGACUGCUUUUACACAAACCUCUUCACUUGCUUUCGGAAUGGUGGUGACAUUUUGAAAAGAUUCAUUUGGGAAAAUGUUUUCCUCUGCUUUCCUUUACAAAAUUGUAUUAAACUUCUGUCAAGUGUUUGUUUAUAUAUUAAAAUCCCA